CCACGGCCCGACCGGCAGGCUUGCGG
rnacentral:misc_RNA from 1 species